ACGGGUGAGUAACACGUAUCCAACCUGCCGUCUACUCUUGGACAGCCUUCUGAAAGGAAGAUUAAUACAAGAUGGCAUCAUGAGUCCGCAUGUUCACAUGAUUAAAGGUAUUCCGGUAGACGAUGGGGAUGCGUUCCAUUAGAUAGUAGGCGGGGUAACGGCCCACCUAGUCUUCGAUGGAUAGGGGUUCUGAGAGGAAGGUCCCCCACAUUAGAACUGAGACACGGUCCAA
rnacentral:rRNA from 1 species